UUUGUUCUCACAAAUGCACCAAACCCUUUUCAAAUUUUAUAUUUAUCUCUUUUUUUUUUUUCUUUUCUCUCUAAUACAACAAAUCCCAUCCACCAUGGACAAAUAGCAGAAAGUAAUCAAAAUGACUGACUUUUCUUUUGCUCCUAGGUCUAUUAUUGCAUCUAGAUUUCAAAAUUAUUACACCCAUGUUAUCCUUCUUUAUUUUUGUCAUACAAUUCCAAUCCCUUGACAGACAUCACAUUCUCUAAUAGAUCUACAUGACAGCCAGCCAUGACGACUUUUCUCCGGUUACGGCCCGAUGGAAAAAAAGGUGGAUUUACCAGGAGAUGUCACUAAGAUUUGUGUAUUUGUUAAUUUCUUUAUCAAAAGACAUCUUCUGUUGUAUGAUGAUGAUGAAAGACAAAUGAUGACGAAGAUGAAGUAACAAAUAUGAUAGAUGAGCACAUAUGAGCAUGGAUGAUGAUUCCAUCAAGUUCUUCCAACUUGAUUAGUCAAGUUGGGAGGAUCUUAACCCUUGAUUGAAAAUCAAGGGCUAAGAUUCAAUCAUUAACUUUAAAUCUUGGCAUUUUCAAUUAAGGGUCAAGAUCUUCCCAACUUGAACUUGAGAGAAUCCCCUUCCUAUGAGCAUGUCUAUUUCAUAGUCACAUGUAUGCAAGUUGGGCGUAUAUGUAUGAACAAUGCUACGGCGUAUGUAUUCAAGUAUAUCAUGUAAAUAAAUAUAUUACGGGAUUGGUUGGA